AAAAACUAGACAUGUAAAGGGAGUCGCGCCAGCAUAUUUAGGCACACGGGCCAAUGUUUUCCGGCCAGCACGACCUAGCAGUUUCUAAAACUCGUUUACAUACUGCAUCUCACCCUGGGUGGCCCAGUCGACCUUCCAUGUCUAAUUCUGACCGAGACAACCCUCUAUGUCAAGUGGGUCGUGCCAGUACAUUUAGGCAUCGGGCCACUUGGGUCCCACCCAUACCUGGCAGUUCUUAAAUCUGUUUUCGAAACACUUCUGUCCAAGGCUGCAGCCCGGCCAUGGCCUGAUUUUAAGGUGGGCGGCCCGUGCCUACUUAUGACUGAGACUAGCCUCUUUAAAUGACUCUAGCCAGGCCGCCCGUGCCUACUUAUGACUGAGACUAGCCUCUUUAAAUGACUCUAGCCUUGCUGCCAAAGAGUGUCG
rnacentral:lncRNA from 1 species